GGCGAUCAGACCUAUAUAACUGGACGAAGAUCGAUAAAAUAGCGGCCCACUUUCAGCAGACAAUACACAGUGCCAUCUUUGUGGGUACAUUACUGCCUUCUUGGUCUGAGGACCGGCAAGUCGUCAACUUCGACUGGCUACAAAUAGAUGCGAUUCAAAGUCUCCAUGAAAUGUAGGCCUCUCCAAGAAAAUUAGGUGUUCCUGGGAAUAGUGUACCAAAGACUUGGAUAUUACGUUUUGCAAGUUUUCGAUUAAUGGCAGCAAUGAAUGGGUAUAUCAUGCGUCUUCUUGUAUCGAUUCUGUGCCUCCAGACUGUCCGAUCGCAAGUCACCAGCCCGUACCCGACCACAAACAUCGCCGGUUUGUCUGACGCACCAGUCUCGCCAUCAGUCGGCCCAUCGGCUGCUCAACCCGAAGUGACGACCAUCGAUGGCAGAUUCACGCUGUUCAGCCCAAGCGCGUCUGCAAACCCGUC